rnacentral:rRNA from 1 species
GAUGAACGCUGGCGGCGUGCCUAAUACAUGCAAGUCGAGCGAACAGACGAGGAGCUUGCUCCUCUGACGUUAGCGGCGGACGGGUGAGUAACACGUGGAUAACCUACCUAUAAGACUGGGAUAACUUCGGGAAACCGAGCUAAUACCGGAUAAUAUAUUGAACCGCAUGGUUCAAUAGUGAAAGACGGUUUUGCUGUCACUUAUAGAUGGAUCCGCGCCGCAUUAGCUAGUUGGUAAGGUAACGGCUUACCAAGGCAACGAUGCGUAGCCGACCUGAGAGGGUGAUCGGCCACACUGGAACUGAGACACGGUCCAGACUCCUACGGGAGGCAGCAGUAGGGAAUCUUCCGCAAUGGGCGAAAGCUUGACGGAGCAACGCCGCGUGAGUGAUGAAGGUCUUCGGAUCGUAAAACUCUGUUAUUAGGGAAGAACAAAUGUGUAAGUAACUAUGCACGUCUUGACGGUACCUAAUCAGAAAGCCACGGCUAACUACGUG